rnacentral:rRNA from 1 species
UCCUACGGGACGCAGCAGUGGGGAAUAUUGCACAAUGGGGGGAACCCUGAUGCAGCGACGCCGCGUGAGUGAAGAAGUAUUUCGGUAUGUAAAGCUCUAUCAGCAGGGAAGAAGAUGACGGUACCUGACUAAGAAGCCCCGGCUAACUACGUGCCAGCAGCCGCGGUAAUACGUAGGGGGCAAGCGUUAUCCGGAUUUAUUGGGUGUAAAGGGCGUGUAGGCGGGAAUGCAAGUCAGAUGUGAAAACUAUGGGCUCAACCCAUAGCCUGCAUUUGAAACUGUAUUUCUUGAGUGCUGUAGAGGCA